rnacentral:rRNA from 1 species
AGAGUGAACGCUGGCGGUAGGCCUAACACAUGCAAGUCGAACGGCAGCACAGUGGUAGCAAUACCAUGGGUGGCGAGUGGCGGACGGGUGAGGAAUACAUCGGAAUCUACCUUUUCGUGGGGGAUAACGUAGGGAAACUUACGCUAAUACCGCAUACGCCCUUCGGGGGAAGCCGGGGAUCGCAAGACCUGGCGCGGAUAGAUGAGCCGAUGUCGGAUUAGCUAGUUGGUGAGGUAAUGGCUCACCAAGGCGACGAUCCGUAGCUGGUCUGAGAGGAUGAUCAGCCACACUGGAACUGAGACACGGUCCAGACUCCUACGGGAGGCAGCAGUGGGGAAUAGUUGGACAAGUGGGCGCAAGCCUGAUCCAGCCAUACCGCGGUGGGUGAAGGAAGGUACCGUUCGGGUUCGUAAAGU